AAGCUGCAUUAAAGAAGCCUUUUAAUGCAGAAUGGAAGUCUGACUGAGUGCAUCAUUUAGUAUCAUUGAGCAGUAUUCUUGAUGUGUUUAUUUCAUGUGGCAUAGAUAAAAGCAUAUCAAUCAAAAAUGGUGGCUUCCAUCGUUGUACAUCAUCAUCAAAGCCUUGUUCAAAAUGCUCUGAAAUACUGGCACCAUUUUGUUUCGUUUUACAUAAAAAUGAGAACAAGAUUCAGGGACCAGUGUUUACAUGUGUAAAGGAACUUUUAAAAAAUAGAAGCCGCGAUAUUUCUAGCGAGAUUAAAUGCUUCAAUACGCCAUGAAGGGAGUACUUUUCUGAAACUGUAUUCGUAUAGAUCUAUAUAUUUUAGAAAAAUUAAAAAAGGGGAGCUCAAUGAAAAAUACAAAGUCCUGAAGUGAGAUACAAAGAGCAAGGGUUUGAGGUUAAUUUGAGCAACUGCUGGAUAGAUACAACACUUGCGCUGAGUCUCUUUACCUAGGAGGGCAAAAGAAACUUGCAUAGGCAGCAGAUUAGACCAGUGUCUAGAGAGAGAAAAGCAUAAGAUAUGGGUGCAACCCGGACACACAGCUUGGAAAGUCUUCAGA